GAUGAACGCUGGCGGCGUGCCUAAUACAUGCAAGUCGAGCGAAGCGGGGACGGGUGAGUAACACGUGGAUAACCUCCUAUACGACUGGGAUAACUUCGGGAAACCUGAGCUAGACCGGCUACUUAUAGAUGGAUCCGCGCUGCAUUAGCUAGUUUGUAAGGUAACGGCUUACCAAGGCAACGAUGCAUAGCCGAUCUGAGAGGGUAGUCGUCCACACCGGAACUGAAGCGCUGGCCGAACUCCCACGGGCGGCAGCAGGAGGGAAUCUUCCGGAAUGGGCGAAAGCCUGACGGAGCAACGCCGCGUGAGUGAUGAAGGUCUUCGGAUCGUAAAACGCUGUUAUUAGGGAAGCGGUACCUAAUCAGAAAGCCACGGCUAACUACGUGCCAGCAGCCGCGGUAAUUC
rnacentral:rRNA from 1 species